CGGCGAGUGAAGCGGCAAAAGCUCAAAUUUGAAAUCUGGCACCUUCGGUGUCCGAGUUGUAAUUUGAAGAAGGUAACUUUGGAGUUGGCUCUUGUCUAUGUUCCUUGGAACAGGACGUCACAGAGGGUGAGAAUCCCGUGCGAUGAGAUGCCCAAUUCUAUGUAAAGUGCUUUCGAAGAGUCGAGUUGUUUGGGAAUGCAGCUCUAAGUGGGUGGUAAAUUCCAUCUAAAGCUAAAUAUUGGCGAGAGACCGAUAGCGAACAAGUACAGUGAUGGAAAGAUGAAAAGAACUUUGAAAAGAGAGUGAAAAAGUACGUGAAAUUGUUGAAAGGGAAGGGCUUGAGAUCAGACUUGGUAUUUUGCGAUCCUUUCCUUCUUGGUUGGGUUCCUCGCAGCUUACUGGGCCAGCAUCGGUUUGGAUGGUAGGAUAAUGACUAAGGAAUGUGGCUCUACUUCGGUGGAGUGUUAUAGCCUUGGUUGAUACUGCCUGUCUAGACCGAGGACUGCGUCUUUUGACUAGGAUGUUGGCAUAAUGAUCUUAAGCCACCCGUCUUGAA
rnacentral:rRNA from 1 species